rnacentral:rRNA from 1 species
CGCGUAGGCGGUGCUUCAAGUCAGAUGUGAAAGCCCUGGGCUCAACCUAGGAACAGCAUUUGAGACUGGAGCGCUCGAGGACCGGAGAGGUGGGUGGAAUUCCCAGUGUAGAGGUGAAAUUCGUAGAUAUUGGGAAGAACACCGGUGGCGAAGGCGGCCCACUGGACGGUUACUGACGCUGAGGCGCGAAAGCGUGGGGAGCAAACA